AUCUCACUGUGGCGUUGAUCUGCAUUUCCCUGAUGUCCAAGCAGGCGCAGAGCUGGAUGUCUCUUUGCCCAGGGAGGUUUUGCCGAGCAGACAGGAGAAGUUGUUCUCAAGCACUUUCACCUUUUGAAGUCAGAAAGUGAGUUCAUGGGCCCCACCCCGCCUCUGGAAUCAGAAUUUCUAAGGGUAAAGCCCAGACACUCUUUCAACAAGGUCUUGGGCAAUGAGUGUACACACUAACUGAGAGAAGCUGGGUUAGGGAUUAGGGGAAGGAUUCCAGAGGCAGAAUAGUGUGCCUCACGCUCUUAAGAGAAAGGAGGAAGACAGGGAGCCAGUCCCCAGGAACACACAAGCCUCCAAAGCUCUACCAGGAAGGUGUUGUGAUCUCAGGUCAGGCCCUGCUAUGACUCACUUUGGAAAACUAGACUUGGAUCCCUGCAGCCAUUACAGCUGCCUAGAAUCCAACACAGAGAUGCAGAAUUGGAGUUUGGAGUGUGUGUGGCUACAAUGAAGAGGAAGGAGUAGGGGUCGACCUCUGGGAUCUUGCUCAAAAUCUCCCUCUCCACCCACCUCCUCCCACACACCUGGCACAGGGCUUCCUGUAAGCAAGGCAGAAUGCCUAGAAAAGGGUGGCAGACUCAGAUACUUUCAAUGACAGCCAAGUAAC